GGGGUAACGGCCCACCUAGGCGACGAUCCCUAGCUGGUCUGAGAGGAUGACCAGCCACACUGGAACUGAGACACGGUCCAGACUCCUACGGGAGGCAGCAGUGGGGAAUAUUGCACAAUGGGCGCAAGCCUGAUGCAGCCAUGCCGCGUGUAUGAAGAAGGCCUUCGGGUUGUAAAGUACUUUCAGCGGGGAGGAAGGCGAUGUGGUUAAUAACCGCGUCGAUUGACGUUACCCGCAGAAGAAGCACCGGCUAACUCCGUGCCAGCAGCCGCGGUAAUACGGAGGGUGCAAGCGUUAAUCGGAAUUACUGGGCGUAAAGCGCACGCAGGCGGUCUGUUAAGUCAGAUGUGAAAUCCCCGGGCUUAACCUGGGAACUGCAUUUGAAACUGGCAGGCUUGAGUCUCGUAGAGGGGGGUAGAAUUCCAGGUGUAGCGGUGAAAUGCGUAGAGAUCUGGAGGAAUACCGGUGGCGAAGGCGGCCCCCUGGACGAAGACUGACGCUCAGGUGCGAAAGCGUGGGG
rnacentral:rRNA from 1 species